CUGCAGACAAUUAAUGUGGAGAGCAGUAGCCUAGAGCUAAGCCUUUGUGUUGAGACAAAUGGAGCAAGGGGUGGUAUACUGCACCCUGUGUUAUCCACCCUACGAUCCCUGCAUCUGGGCGUACAGGUAGAAAUGGCCGGCCUCCUUUGCUGCUGAGAGCCAUGGAAGCACUUAGGCAGAUAAUCAGAACACAAAGCACAAAGAUGACCCCACAAGAAGCGCAUUAGCUGCUAACAAG
rnacentral:lncRNA from 1 species